rnacentral:snoRNA from 1 species
AACCGUUACAACACUCUGGCGCUUACCGUUCUCUCCCUGCGGGGUUUGGACAUUUUACGAUGUGGUUUACGCUUAUUUUAAGUAACGAAGAGCAACUGACCCGCUACUCACCGCGGCAAUCUUGAUGGCAUUCGUGUCGUUGUGGUUGCAGCGGUCCAUAUUUGUGGUCUACAU